rnacentral:rRNA from 1 species
AUUGCCUCAGUAACGGCGAGUGAAGCGGCAACAGCUCAAAUUUGAAAUCUGGCCGCAAGGUCCGAGUUGUAAUUUGUAGAGGAUGCUUUUGGCGAGGUGCCUUCCGAGUUCCCUGGAACGGGACGCCAUAGAGGGUGAGAGCCCCGUACGGUAGGACACCAAGCCUCUGUAAAGCUCCUUCGACGAGUCGAGUAGUUUGGGAAUGCUGCUCUAAAUGGGAGGUGUACGUCUUCUAAAGCUAAAUACCGGCCAGAGACCGAUAGCGCACAAGUAGAGUGAUCGAAAGAUGAAAAGCACUUUGAAAAGAGGGUUAAAAAGUACGUGAAAUUGUUGAAAGGGAAGCAUUCAUGACCAGACUUGGGCUUGGUUGAACAUCCGGCGUUCUCGCCGGUGCACUCUGCCAGUCCAGGCCAGCAUCAGUUUGCCCCGGGGGAUAAAGGCGGCGGGAAUGUGGCUCCCUUCGGGGAGUGUUAUAGCCCGUCGUGUAAUGCCCUGGGGCGGACUGAGGAACGCGCUUCGGCACGGAUGCUGGCGUAAUGGUCAUCAAUGACCCGUCUUGAAACACGGACCAAGGAGUCGUCUUCGUAUGCGAGUGUUCGGGUGUCAAACCCCUACGCGUAAUGAAAGUGAACGUAGGUGAGAGCUUCGGCGCAUCACCGACCGAUCCUGAUGUUCUCGGAUGGAUUUGAGUAAGAGCAUACGGGGCCGGACCCGAAAGAAGGUGAACUAUGCCUGUAUAGGGUGAAGCCAGAGGAAACUCUGGUGGAGGCUCGCAGCGGUUCUGACGUGCAAAUCGAUCGUCAAAUAUGGGCAUGGGGGCGAAAGACUAAU